UACGUAGGUGGCAAGCGAUACUCGGAAUCACUAGGCGUAAAGCGCAGGUAGGCGGUUUGGUAAGUCUUUUGUGAAAGCUCCCGGCUCAACUGGGAGAGGUCAAGGGAAACUACCGGACUAGAGUGUGGUAGGGGAUACUGGAAUUCCUGGUGUAGCGGUGAAAUGCGUAGAUAUCAGGAGGAAUACCUAUGGCGAAAGCAGGUAUCUGGGCCAUCACUGACGCUGAGGAGCGAAAGCGUGGGGAGCGAACAGG
rnacentral:rRNA from 1 species